GUAGUCUGCAACUCGACUACAUGAAGCUGGAAUCGCUAGUAAUCGCGAAUCAGAAUGUCGCGGUGAAUACGUUCCCGGGUCUUGUACACACCGCCCGUCACACCAUGGGAGUUGGUAACGCCCGAAGCCAGUGGCCCAACUGCAAAGAGGGAGCUGUCGAAGGCGGGACCGAUAACUGGGGUGAAGUCGUAACAAGGUAUC
rnacentral:rRNA from 1 species